GAUGAACGCUGGCGGCGUGCCUAACACAUGCAAGUCGAGCGAACAGAUAAGGAGCUUGCUUCUUUGACGUUAGCGGCGGGCGGGUGAGUAACACGCGGAUAACCUACCUAUAAGACUGGGAUAACUUCGGGAAAACGGAGCUAAUACCGGAUAACAUAUUGAACCGCAUGGUUCAAUAGUGAAAGGCGGCUUUGCUGUCACUUAUAGAUGGUUCGGCGCGGUAUUAGCUAGUUGGUGAGGUAACGGCCUACCAAGGCAACGAUACGUAGCCGACCUGAGAGGGUGAUCGGCGACCCUGGAGCUGAGACACGGUCCAGACUCCUACGGGAGGCAGCAGUAGGGAAUCUUGCGCAAUGGGCGCAAGCCUGACGGAGCAAUGCCGCGUGAGUGAUGAAGGCCUUCGGAUCGUAAAACCCUGUUAUCGGGGAAGAACAAUUGUGGACUAAUAUGUGCACAGCAUGACGGUACCCGAUGAGUAAGCCACGGCUAACUACGUG
rnacentral:rRNA from 1 species